AAGAGAGAGAUAUUGAUUUUCCUUU
rnacentral:piRNA from 1 species